GGUUUCAAAUCAGCAUGCCUUGCUGCAAGCUCAGGUUGUGGCCGUUACUAUUUAUGUUUUCUGAACGUUUUAUAUUUUUCACAUUUCAGACCCUCUACAUUUCCAUGAGCAGUGCACAAGGAAGGUAGAAGACUUUGACAAAUAGAAUGCUGUCCCCAGCGAGGUCUGCCUGGCGAAACGUUAAUUUCAGAGCCAGAUCAUUCACUUUGUAAUCACAGCAAGGUCCCUACCAGUGAAGAAGUGAGCAGUCUGCAAUUUUAUCCCUGGGUGGAGCUAUCGAAUGACGCUGUUUCAUUACAAGAUGCCUCAUUCCAAGGAGUUUGUGGGUUUAUAUACCUUAUUAAUUUUUAAAACUGUAUCCAAGUUUUGAAAAUGAAGUAGUCAAAUUUCCAACUUGGAAAGAGAAAAAUCAAGAGUAAUUGAAAAAGCUGUUCAAAUAAACAGGAAAUUCUAGCCAUGCUGCACCAUUUGAUAUCACUAGGAAAGGAAACUACAAACAGAAAAUGAAGGUUCAGAAAAUAGUAGCUGCCAUUACUCUGCGUAAAAAACACACAUUCCUCUCAUCUACUGGAUUGCUCGGUUUCGGGGAUAGCCUUCCUGGUUCAUACUGUAUCUAAAGUUUACUUACAGACAUGAAAGGUCAAAGGCAAAACUACACAUUACAGAGGGGGAAGUUACACAUCACCCCCCCCCAAAGUGGAAGUGCAUCACCCCAUAAGAGGAGGAAGAUCCAGAUUUGCAUAAGAUUUAUGUAUGCUAAUUAAUAUAUAUGGGUGCAAAUCGAGAAAGAAUUCAAUUAAAACAAUGCAAGUAUUAUAAGCACUAUAAUUUAAAUAAAAACACAUUACAUCUCACCAUAGUGGAGAGGACUGUGAUUGGAUAAGCUGUGUUCCUGCUCGGUUUGCUGUCCAGAUGGUAACUUUAAGCCCUGCUCUCUCUUUUCAUGGUUCUUCAUCUUUCAACUCAACUUGGACCCUUCAGAUAGAGGACUGUUCUUUGAUAGCUCUUCAAACAGAGCAUUGUCCUUUUGUAAAACAGAACAGGUUGUUAUCCUGCUCACAUCAUCAGGCACAAAAUCAGGAGCAAUGUGCACACCUGGUGUUACCCACUGAGCUGAGCAAUGCAGUAUAGGCUAAUGAGUGUUGGUGGAAACACCUGAGAUUCUUGUCUGCUUUGUAAACCAAAUGCUUUGCCCUGUGAUUCUUCUGAUUACAUAGUUUGGUUCCUCUACAUUCAAAGUACCACUGAGUUAAGUGUGAUUUAUGUCUAGGACUGUAGCCUUAGUGAUGGCCCCUGGUCUCUAACUCUUUAUACAAUAUUAUUGUAAGAUAUAAUAAUUAUAAAUAAAUACAAGCAGGGAGGAAAUUUA